GGUUGUGGCUCAGUGGUAGAGUGCUUGCCUAGCAUGUGUGAGGCAUUGGGUUCAUCCCCAGCACCA
rnacentral:tRNA from 1 species